AUUGAACGCUGGCGGCAGGCCUAACACAUGCAAGUCGAGCGGUAGAGAGAAGCUUGCUUCUCUUGAGAGCGGCGGACGGGUGAGUAAUGCCUAGGAAUCUGCCUAGUGGUGGGGGAUAACGUUCGGAAACGGAUGAAAGCAGGGGACCGCAAGGCCUUGCGCUCAUGGAGCGGCCGAUGGCAGAUUAGGUAGUUGGUGGGAUAAAAGCUUACCAAGCCGACGAUCUGUAGCUGGUCUGAGAGGACGACCAGCCACACUGGGACUGAGACACGGCCCAGACUCCUACGGGAGGCAGCAGUGGGGAAUUUUGGACAAUGGGCGAAAGCCUGAUCCAGCCAUGCCGCGUGCAGGAUGAAGGCCUUCGGGUUGUAAACUGCUUUGUACGGUAACGAAAAGACUCUGGUUAAUACCUGGGGUCCAUGACGGUACCGUAAGAAUAAGCACCGGCCAACUACGUG
rnacentral:rRNA from 1 species